AUUGAACGCUGGCGGCAGGCCUAACACAUGCAAGUCGAGCGGAUGAAGGGAGCUUGCUCCUGGAUUCAGCGGCGGACGGGUGAGUAAUGCCUAGGAAUCUGCCUGGUAGUGGGGGAUAACGUCCGGAAACGGGCGCUAAUACCGCAUACGUCCUGAGGGAGAAAGUGGGGGAUCUUCGGACCUCACGCUAUCAGAUGAGCCUAGGUCGGAUUAGCUAGUUGGUGGGGUAAAGGCCUACCAAGGCGACGAUCCGUAACUGGUCUGAGAGGAUGAUCAGUCACACUGGAACUGAGACACGGUCCAGACUCCUACGGGAGGCAGCAGUGGGGAAUAUUGGACAAUGGGCGAAAGCCUGAUCCAGCCAUGCUGCGUGUGUGAAGAAGGUCUUCGGAUUGUAAAGCACUUUAAGUUGGGAGGAAGGGCAGUAAGUUAAUACCUUGCUGUUUUGACGUUACCAAAAGAAUAAGCACCGGCUAACUUCGUG
rnacentral:rRNA from 1 species